AAGUCGAGCGGAAAGGCCCUUCGGGGUACUCGAGCGGCGAACGGGUGAGUAACACGUGAGCAACCUGCCCUACGCUCUGGGAUAACCCUCGGAAACGGGGGCUAAUACCGAAUAUUCACUACUGGUCGCAUGGUUGGUGGUGGAAAGUUUUUCGGCGUGGGAUGGGCUCGCGGCCUAUCAGCUUGUUGGUGGGGUGAUGGCCUACCAAGGCGACGACGGGUAGCCGGCCUGAGAGGGCGACCGGCCACACUGGGACUGAGACACGGCCCAGACUCCUACGGGAGGCAGCAGUGGGGAAUAUUGCACAAUGGGCGGAAGCCUGAUGCAGCGACGCCGCGUGAGGGAUGACGGCCUUCGGGUUGUAAACCUCUUUCAGCAGGGACGAAGCGAGAGUGACGGUACCUGCAGAAGAAGCGCCGGCCAACUACGUGCCAGCAGCCGCGGUAAGACGUAGGGCGCGAGCGUUGUCCGGAAUUAUUGGGCGUAAAGAGCUCGUAGGCGGCUUGUCGCGUCGACUGUGAAAACCCGCGGCUCAACCGCGGGCCUGCAGCCGAUACGGGCAGGCUAGAGUUCGGUAGGGGAGACUGGAAUUCCUGGUGUAGCGGUGAAAUGCGCAGAUAUCAGGAGGAACACCGAUGGCGAAGGCAGGUCUCUGGGCCGAUACUGACGCUGAGGAGCGAAAG
rnacentral:rRNA from 1 species